AUGGGCUCCCGGCCUUUUGACUAAGAUCAAGUGUAGUAUCUGUUCUUAUCAAUUUAACUUAAUUCUUUUAAAUACAACUUUUAAUGUGGCCUUAUUUUUC
ensembl:snRNA U2 U2 spliceosomal RNA